rnacentral:lncRNA from 1 species
GUCUGAACUUAUAGGGCCUAUGGGUUACCUCAGCCCUACAGGGUCAGUGGGGUAGCCUGGCCCCAUAGAUCCAAUAUGGGCGGCAUCCCUACAAUGUCUAUGGGGCUGAUUCAUACCCUAUAGCUCCUAUGGGAUAUCUAAGCCCUAUAGGAUCAAUGUGGGAGCCUGGCCCUAUAGAGCCUAUGGGGGGACUGUCCCUAUGGCAUCUAUGGGGCUGAUCCUGACCCUAUAGUGCCUGGGGGGGGGGCUGGGGGGGAGUCAGUAUAGGUGCCAUAGGGGCCCUAUAGGGUCGGGGGGAUCCUACAAGCCCUUCACCCCCAAUGUGUGGGUCGUAUGUGGGGCAGCUCCAAUAAAGGCUGUGAGGGAACAAGGACGGAGUCCUUCCUUUGGGGUUGGGGUGGGACCCAUAGGAUCCUAUAACACCAGGUAUAGGGGACUCAUAAUCCCAUAUUCCCCUAUAGAAUCCUAUAAUCCCAGAUAUAGGACCCCAUAAUCCCAUAAUACCCCCAUAGAGUCCUAUAAUCCCAGAUAUAGGACCCCAUCAUAGAACCCUAUAGUCCCAGAUUUGGGGUCAGAAACGUGGGAUUUAGGGUUGGGAAUGGGGGAUUUGGGGUCUAAAGGGGGGAUUUGGGCGGUUCUAUGGGGGACAUUAAGUUACUUAUGGUGCUCUAGGGUCCACUAGGGGCUCUAUGGGGCACUUACGGGGUCACUAUGGGACUCUAUUGAGGCUCUAAUAGGGUCAUGUGGCAUUCUAUGGGGCUGUAUGGGUUCUGUGUGGGACUAUGGGGUCACUAGGGGGUGCCAUGACAUUCUAUGGGGUGGUUAUGGGGCCAUGGGGCAACUAUGGGGCAGCAAUGGAGAGGCUAUGGGGUAUCUAUGGGGCAGCCAUAGUCAGCUAUGGGUUCUAUGGGCCAGCUAUGGGAGCUAUGGGUCGCUAUGGGGUUCCUAUGGGUGUUCUAUGGGCAACUAUGGGGGUCUAUGGGAGCACAUAGGGCAGCUAUGGGUGUUCUAUGGUAUCUAUGGGUGUCUAUGGGGCAGCUAUGGGGUGUCUAUGGGGUGUCUAUGGGGCAGAGUCUCACCCAGUGCAGGGGCAGCGCUGUCCACUGGCGGCGUCACUUCUUCAUAUGCACCAUCAGGGGGCGCUGUGGGGACAGAAACCCUAUAGACACCCCAUAGAUACCUAUAGACCCCAUAGACACCCCAUAGCGGCCCCAUAGAUACCCAUAGACCCCAUAGACACCCCAUAGAUACCCAUAGACCCCAUAGACACCCCAUAGCGGCCCCAUAGAUACCCAUAGACCCCAUAGACACCCCAUAGCGGCCCCAUAGUUACCCAUAGACCCCAUAGACCCCAUAGACACCCCAUAAAAACCCCAUAGCGGCCCCAUAGAGACCCAUAGACACCCCAUAGAUAACCCAUAGACCCCAUAGAGCCCCAUAGUCACCCCAUAGACACCCCAUGGAUACCCAUAGACCCCAUAGACACCCCAUAGCCACCCCAUAGCUGCCCCAUAGACCCCAUAGAGCCCCAUAGACACCCCAUAG